rnacentral:lncRNA from 1 species
AGACAAGAAAACAACCAGGGAAGGCACACAGACUCUGGGAAACGCUGCUGCUGUUUGACAUCGCACAGUCAGAAGGGAUCGUCUCAGCCAGCCUGCAGCAUCUGUCACUUUGACCAUGAGACGCUGCCUCGAUUUCCAAUCCAGGUGCAAAGCUUCAGAUAGGAGUUUGGGAAGCACAGCAAUCCCCAUCUCUUAUUUUU